AAUAUGGGGGGACCAUCCUCCAAGGCUAAAUACUCCUGACUGACCGAUAGUGAACCAGUACCGUGAGGGAAAGGCGAAAAGAACCCCGGCGAGGGGAGUGAAAAAGAACCUGAAACCGUGUACGUACAAGCAGUGGGAGCACGCUUAGGCGUGUGACUGCGUACCUUUUGUAUAAUGGGUCAGCGACUUAUAUUCUGUAGCAAGGUUAACCGAAUAGGGGAGCCGAAGGGAAACCGAGUCUUAACUGGGCGUUAAGUUGCAGGGUAUAGACCCGAAACCCGGUGAUCUAGCCAUGGGCAGGUUGAAGGUUGGGUAACACUAACUGGAGGACCGAACCGACUAAUGUUGAAAAAUUAGCGGAUGACUUGUGGCUGGGGGUGAAAGGCCAAUCAAACCGGGAGAUAGCUGGUUCUCCCCGAAAGCUAUUUAGGUAGCGCCUCGUGAAUUCAUCUCCGGGGGUAGAGCACUGUUUCGGCAAGGGGGUCAUCCCGACUUACCAACCCGAUGCAAACUGCGAAUACCGGAGAAUGUUAUCACGGGAGACACACGGCGGGUGCUAACGUCCGUCGUGAAGAGGGAAACAACCCAGACCGCCAGCUAAGGUCCCAAAGUCAUGGUUAAGUGGGAAACGAUGUGGGAAGGCCCAGACAGCCAGGAUGUUGGCUUAGAAGCAGCCAUCAUUUAAAGAAAGCGUAAUAGCUCACUGGUCGAGUCGGCCUGCGCGGAAGAUGUAACGGGGCUAAACCAUGCACCGAAGCUGCGGCAGCGACGCUGAUGCGUUGUUGGGUAGGGGAGCGUUCUGUAAGCCUGUGAAGGUGUGCUGUGAGGCAUGCUGGAGGUAUCAGAAGUGCGAAUGCUGACAUAAGUAACGAUAAAGCGGGUGAAAAGCCCGCUCGCCGGAAGACCAAGGGUUCCUGUCCAACGUUAAUCGGGGCAGGGUGAGUCGACCCCUAAGGCGAGGCCGAAAGGCGUAGUCGAUGGGAAACAGGUUAAUAUUCCUGUACUUGGUGUUACUGCGAAGGGGGGACGGAGAAGGCUAUGUUGGCCGGGCGACGGUUGUCCCGGUUUAAGCGUGUAGG
rnacentral:rRNA from 1 species